rnacentral:rRNA from 1 species
AGUGAGCGCUGGCGGUAGGCCUAACACAUGCAAGUCGAACGGCAGCACAGUAAGAGCUUGCUCUUACGGGUGGCGAGUGGCGGACGGGUGAGGAAUACAUCGGAAUCUACUUUUUCGUGGGGGAUAACGUAGGGAAACUUACGCUAAUACCGCAUACGACCUACGGGUGAAAGCAGGGGAUCUUCGGACCUUGCGCGUUUGAAUGAGCCGAUGUCGGAUUAGCUAGUUGGCGGGGUAAAGGCCCACCAAGGCGACGAUCCGUAGCUGGUCCGAGAGGAUGAUCAGCCACAUUGGAACGGAGGCACGGUCCAGACUCCUACGGGAGGCAGCAGUGGGGAAUAUUGGACAAUGGGCGCAAGCCUGAUCCAGCCAUACCGCGUGGGUGAAGAAGGCCUUCGGGUUGUAAAGCCCUUUUGUUGGGAAAGAAAAGCAGCAGGUUAAUACCCCGCUGUUCUGACGGUACCCAAAGAAUAAGCACCGGCUAACUUCGUG